rnacentral:rRNA from 1 species
UAGGGGAUCUUCCACAAUGGGCGCAAGCCUGAUGGAGCAACACCGCGUGAGUGAAGAAGGGUUUCGGCUCGUAAAACUCUGUUGUUAAAGAAGAACAUAUCUGAGAGUAACUGUUCAGGUAUUGACGGUAUUUAACCAGAAAGCCACGGCUAACUACGUGCAAG